AGUUAACAAUGCAUCCACAGAGUCCUCCCCCUGCACUGUCGGCCGCUGUGUGUCACAUGCCUGCUGGGGGAAGAAAAUGGAAGCUUGGCUGAAGAGGAAAUAAAAACCGAGCAGGAGGUGGUGGAGGGAAUGGAUAUCUCUACUCGCUCCAAAGGUGAGUCAAAAAUCUCAGAUUAUCUACUGCGACCUCCAGGAGAGGGGGAUUUCUUUUGUUGUUGGAGAGAGGUGACACAUGGCUCUCUGAGCCGCCAGCCGGCCGAGACACUGUAGGGUCUUUUGAUGGAUGGACCUAAUUUCUGGAGACAUGGUUCAGUCUAACGUCCUUCCCUGCCCUGCCUGUGUAGGUGUGCCGACUUGCCCGGCAUUGCCCUGUGGUAAAUUUUGGGUGUGUGUCUGGGGCUGUGGGUGCCUGCCCGCCAGUCUCUUUCCCAGAGCGAUUCUCACAGGAGUCUAAAUGUGCUUUCUGCAGACGCCACUGAGGUCUGCAGCUGUGGCAGGCUUCCUGAUGGUAACAGCAGGCCUCUGGGCAAUCGGUGGGGUGGAGUGGACCAGCUUCAUUGGAAAAUGGUGGCCUUGGUUGGCAAUUACAAGGGAAUGAGGAGGCCAGUGCCUGUGUUGGGAGCAAACCUUGGUCUCUUCUCUGUUUAUUCUGUUUGCUGAGAGGGGGAGCCUGUAGUGGCCUGGGCCUGCCUUGCUGCUCAGUGAGAGUUUGUGGGGCACCCCAAGGGGGGUAUUUGCUUGUGCCUUGGGCGCUCUGACCAGCAGCCCUUUGGAGGACUGUCACGGGUUUGCCACAAUAGCCUAGCGGCUGUGCUGAGCUGGUCUGUUCCCUCUGCUGCAGCUCCAGGCUGUGUCUGGGAGGUGGGAGGGGCUGCGGGGAGGGUUGUUACAGAUCCUUCCAGGAGGAGGCUCUCAUCUGGCCAGGAAGUCAUAAAAUAGCACUUCCUAGAGGCGCCUGAAAGAAAAGAGAGCAUCCUAGAGC
rnacentral:lncRNA from 1 species